GCGUGGGUAGUAUAACGGUUAUUAUCUCGGUUUCCCAUCACAUGGCUCUGGCUUGCUGGAGAUUACCGAGGAACCGGGUUCGACCCCCGGCCUACGCA